GCUCCAAGCAGCGUCACUGGAGGGACACUCCGGGCCGUCUGCGGUCCGAUGGUGGUGAUGGUGUUACAAGAGGGAGCCUUCUUCCUCUCGGUCCUGUAAAUUGCCUCAUGAAGAACCUCUGGUCUGAGACCCGAGCACAGGUCUGGCUCCUGCUUAUCCUUCAGGUCUCAAAUCAAAAGCUAUCUCCUCAGAGAGGCUCUCCCUGGCCACUCCAUCUAAGAUUGCUCACCGCCCUCUUUGUGAUACGAGUCUCCAGGGUAGCAGGAAGCCAGAUCAGCAUUGAUGGUGAGAAUGCUGGAAGAGAUGAUGGAAAUUUGAAGAUGGAGAAGAAGGUGUAAAAUGUUUGUCCAGGAGAGUCAGCGAGUAAAUGAACUAGGGAAGUUAUAUACAUGCUGGGCAGUAUUGAGGACCCACUUGAGGAUAGAGAUGAUGAAUUACGGUCUUCCCAGCCCCUGAUGACAUUUUAAUUUGGGACUAAGCUUUCUAUUGUAUAAUUUAUAUUCAGAACAUGAUAGCUGCUAAAAUGAUAGCUAAUAAUUUAAAUGAUAUUGGAAUGGAAAACCGGUUCUAAGUCAUAUUGUGUACCGUGGUGUGCAUUGAAUGUUGUAAAUGAUAAGGAAUCAGCUGCCAUUCACUGGGUGUUUACUCUGAGCCAAGCACGAUGGCAAGCAGUAAGCGUGCAUUUUCUCAUUCAGUUCUCACAACAACAGUCUCACAGACAUUAUUAUUACUCCCAUUUCACAGCUUAGGAACGUGAAGCUUACAGAGGUGAAGAUUUCCCCGAGGUCACAGAGCCAGACAAUGGCAGAGCUUGAGACCUAGGCUCAUACCCAUCAGGCUCGUUGACUGUUUUCUUGCCUGUGGCCCCCAGUGU